GAAUCCAAGCCGUCAACAGAAAUGUACUUAUCAGGAGAAGCCUUUGAUUCUGUGAAAAGCUGCUGUGAUAAUUGCAGGACUACAGAAUGGUUUCAGUUGGAAAGGAUCCUUAAAGGCCCUCUGGUGCCACUCUCUGCAAUGCACAGAGACACCCACAGCUCCAUCAAUGCUCAGAGCCCAUCCCCUGACCUCGGCUGCCUGCAGGGAUGGGGCAGCACCACUUCUCUGGACAACCUGUGCCACUGCCUCACCACAUUUAGACUAAGAAACUUCUUCUUUAUAUCCAAUCUAAGUCUCCCCUUUUUCAGUUUGAAAAAAAAAAUCCAGAAGGUACCAUGCCUGUGCUUGUGAUGCUUUCAUUAAGACAACAGCUGCAUUUACCUGUGGCUCCAUGGGUGGCAAACAUGAGCUUCAGGAGAGACCACUGGGAUGAGGUUUGGUAGAUGGAGGCAAUCUGGGCUGGCCAGGAGCAAACUCCCAAUGCCAUCGGUUCGCUCCAGGACCUGCAAUCCAAAGGCAGGCAGCUGUGGGCUGUAGGACUGCUCUCAUGGAGCACAGAGCCCUGCACUGAGUGCUGCCUCCCAUCCCCAUCCCUGCAAGCAUCAAUCCUGCUGCUCGCAUCCCCAUCACCAUGGCAACCAGCCGGCCUCAAAUUAGCUAAUGGCAGAGAUAAGCAGGAGGACACUUAGGAAACUCUUAUCAACUGUUACUACUAUUCCAGUUUGCUUCAUUUCACACCAUACAAACCUCUCCUGUUUGUGGUGAAAUUGCAGGUGAGCACCUCACAAAGUGUUUGCUUUGUGGUCCAGCUGACGUCCCCAUAACAAACCUGGAUGAAUUAUAAAAAAUGCAGAGUGCUUACAGGCAUGAGAAAUCGAAGUUCUGUUUAGGUCAUUGUAAGAAACCUCUAUUAAUUCACCUUGAGAAGAGCUCAUAUUAAAAUGGAAAUAUAUCUCCUCCUUCACUGCCUGCAUCUCCUCACUAAGCAGGCUGCUUUCCAUGCCGUGUAACAGUAGAAGUGCAAUAAGUUGUUUAAAAUGUUUCUCAUUGCUCACUACAUGUUCUGCAGCUCCCAGAGAAGUGGGCUGCAGGUAUAGUGUGCCAUGCAGCACAGCUUCAGCAGCACAGGGCGGCAGUGGAUGGCACUCUGCUCUCGGUCCACAAUGAGCACUUUGUAUUUAUUAUCCAUUUUCUGCUUGCAGGUGCCCCAAUUAGUGUAAUUCAUAGUCUGCUGAGGCAAUUAAGAAACAGUGGUUUUCU
ensembl:lncRNA